GUAGGUGGCAAGCGUUGUCCGGAAUUAUUGGGCGUAAAGCGCGCGCAGGCGGUUCUUUAAGUCUGAUGUGAAAGCCCACGGGCUCAACCGUGGAGGGUCAUUGGAAACUGGAGAACUUGAGUUCAGAAGAGGAAAGCGGAAUUCCACGUGUAGCGGUGAAAUGCGUAGAGAUGUGGAGGAACACCAGUGGCGAAGGCGGCUUUCUGGUCUGUAACUGACGCUGAGGCGCGAAAGCGUGGGGAGCAAACAGGAUUAGAUACCCUGGUAGUCCACGCCGUAAACGAUGAGUGCUAAGUGUUAGGGGGUUUCCGCCCCUUAGUGCUGCAGCUAACGCAUUAAGCACUCCGCCUGGGGAGUACGGCCGCAAAGGCUG
rnacentral:rRNA from 1 species